rnacentral:misc_RNA from 1 species
GAGAUGAGUACCCGUUUCAUGAGGUACGAAGAUGUUUUCUUCUUUGCAAUUUCAACAUGUUAAUUGUAAAUUCAUCAAAUUCCAUUUUUUCCAUAAAGGGUUCAUAUUCCUUAAUAUCAUGAUUAUUAUAAAAAUUCUGGUAGUACUUGUCCAACUAGGAUCAAUCUCUUAGGCAACUAUUAACUUGUGAAUCCUUUUCCACUGGAAUGUCUUCUGAGUUUCUUA